rnacentral:rRNA from 1 species
UACGAAGGUGGCAAGCGUUGUUCGGAUUUACUGGGCGUAAAGGGAGCGUAGGUGGUGCGGUAAGCCCUCCGGGAAAGCUUCAGGCUUAACCUGAAAAGGUCGGGGGGGGACUGCCGCGCUAGAGGACGGGAGAGGAGCGCGGAAUUCCCGGUGUAGCGGUGAAAUGCGUAGAGAUCGGGAGGAAGGCCGGUGGCGAAGGCGGCGACCUGGACAAGUACUGACACUCAACUACGAAAGCGUGGGGAGCAAACAGG